rnacentral:tRNA from 1 species
GCCCCUGUAGCUCAGCCGGUAGAGCACGUCCUUGGUAAGGACGGGGUCACCGGUUCAAAUCCGGUCGGGGGCU